rnacentral:rRNA from 1 species
CGCGUAGGUGGGAUAUUAAGUCUAUUCUAAAAGUGCGGGGCUCAACCCCGUUAAUGGGAUGGAAACUAAUAUUCUUGAGUACCGGAGAGGAAAGCGGAAUUCCCAGUGUAGCGGUGAAAUGCGUAGAUAUUGGGAGGAACACCAGUGGCGAAGGCGGCUUUCUGGACGGUGUCUGACACUGAGGCGCGAAAGCUAGGGGAGCGAACGGGAUUAGAUACCCCGGUAGUCCUAGCCGUAAACGAUGGGUACUAGGUGUAGGAGGUAUCGACCCCUUCUGUGCCGGAGUUAACGCAAUAAGUACCCCGCCUGGGGAGUACGGCCGCAAGGUUGAA